rnacentral:rRNA from 1 species
UACGUAGGGUGCGAGCGUUAAUCGGAAUUACUGGGCGUAAAGCGUGCGCAGGCGGCUUCGCAAGUCAGGCGUGAAAUCCCCGGGCUUAACCUGGGAAUGGCGUCUGAAACUACGGAGCUGGAGUGUAGCAGAGGGAGGUAGAAUUCCACGUGUAGCGGUGAAAUGCGUAGAUAUGUGGAGGAAUACCGAUGGCGAAGGCAGCCUCCUGGGCCAACACUGACGCUCAUGCACGAAAGCGUGGGGAGCAAACAGG